AUGUCGUGAUGGGGACACUUCCUCAACAAUUCUAUAAACCUUUCCCAAGCGUCAUAUAAUGUUUCCCCAUCUGUCUGGAAGAAGUUAUUGAUCUCUUCUCUCAACCU